rnacentral:lncRNA from 1 species
GUAGGUCAAUUUUAUUAAAUAGGUCAUUUUGGAGCUAACUAAGCUAAUUAUGUCAUUUCGUUGGAUAAUUAGCCAAUUUAGCGUUUCUUGGAUGAGUCUAAGCUACGUAGAAGGAGAGAAAGAGAAGAAGAAGUAAAAGAAGGAGGAGGAGGAGGAGAAGGAGAAGGAAGAGUAGAAGAAGAAGAAAAUAAGAAGGAGA